rnacentral:rRNA from 1 species
UACGAAGGGGGCUAGCGUUGCUCGGAAUCACUGGGCGUAAAGCGCACGUAGGCGGCUUGUUAAGCCAGGGGUGAAAUCCCGGAGCUCAACUCCGGAACUGCCUUUGAUACUGACGAGCUUGAGUUCGGGAGAGGUGAGUGGAACUGCGAGUGUAGAGGUGAAAUUCGUAGAUAUUCGCAAGAACACCAGUGGCGGAGGCGGCUCACUGGCCCGAUACUGACGCUGAGGUGCGAAAGCGUGGGGAGCAAACAGG